GUAACAUUGCAACAUUUCGGAACCAAAUAUAUCACUCAAACUUGGAAACACAUGCUGUUACUUGUUACGAUCAAAAAGGUAAACCACAAUGGACAUUCAAAAAUUACAGCCUUCUGAAAGAUCCUCGUGGUAUUGAUGUAGAUAUUGAUGGCAAUGUAUAUGUGGCGGGGUUUGGUUCGAACAAUGUUGUAGCUAUUUCCCUUGACGGACAACGCCAUAGAGAAGUAUUGGCAGCAAGUGAUGGUCUUUUUUUUCCUUGUUCAGUUUGUUUUGAUAAUUCAAAGAAGCAGUUGCUAGUGGCUAACUGAUAUAGUGAGGCACACUUGUUUACAUUUAUUUGAAUUUUUAAAAUAUAGUAUUGUUUGUUUUAAAUCUGUCCCUCACAGCUACUCUUUCUUUUGGAUAUCUUAUUUGAAAUUAAAAAUAAAUUACAUUAUUGAAAUAUCUUUCUUAAUUUAAACCUUAUUUGGGCGAGUGAUAUGUUUCCAUAUUGAAAAAUAUUAUUAUCAGAUAAUUAAUUUGUUAUAACUAUAUAUGGAGAUAUUAGUUGGCAUAUCUUACAUCAAUGUUAUAACUUAAAUGAUGUUAACAAAACUUGUUUGCUGAUACAAGCACUCUUGUUCUGAUCAGAAAGUGCAAAAGGAAUUUUGCCUUUUUAUAUUGAUUAUUGAAAAAAUAAUUAUGCUUAAUUUAACGCGGAAAAAAGGUAUCUGAUACAUCAAUUUUCAUUCUACAAUCAGUGCAUUAACUAUGAUAUAUUGCAAUAUAUUCAACCUUCGUAUUUAAAGUACCACAGGAAAGGGUUUGUUGGUUAGGCCAAGAGAAGUUAUACAUUCAAAGCAACCUAGAGAAGACCUACAAAUAUUUCUACACGCAGCUUUGAAUUAAUGUCUCGAUUUCUAGAAUGGACAUGGGUGCAUAUAUAUUUAUUCAUCGCCCAUUGCCAAAAGCGAACACUCCUCUGUAGCAUGGAUUUUAGUGCAGGAUGGUAUGAUUUAUAAUUAACUAUUUAGAAAUGAAUCGAAUCUUUAGUUACAUGUUAUCACGUUUGCUUACUUCGAAUAAAGUUUGAUAGUAUUGAAUUAAAUCAGUAUUGUUCGUACUUACUGAACCUGACAGCAUAACCACAUUCGUGUAAAAUUUAGACAGUGUGAAUUGUUAGUGCGUAAGGUUACACAUUUAAAAUUGUGCUCUUGAUUGACAUAAAAAAGAUUCAACUUCUUAUACGGUAAGUGUUGUGUUCAUUGGUGACUUGCUACUGUUUAUACUGAUAAACUACUGUUUCUUUGUUAACUGAUGGACACUUUUGUCAUAAGCACUUUGAUUACUAGUACCUCCCAUUGCUUUUAUCUUCAUAAUGAUCUAAUUUUAUAAUUAUAAACAUUAUGAAAUGAAUUAUGAUUACCAACGAAACAACUAUCCACCAGAGAUCAAAUGUCGUCGAUCUUAGCAACUAUAGGUUACCUUACGUUCGCACAAUCAGCAAAAUCCAUACUAUAUAGUAAGCUAUGAAUGACACGAAAUGACAAAUGUUAAACAAGAAAGGAAACGGCCAUCUGUUCACCCCCUCCUUACCUAGGACAGGGGAAUAUGAAUCAGCUGUUAAAGGGGUCGACUCGUUAGAUCGGCACGAUCAACAAAAGGAACACCAACAAACACAACGCACUUAUCAUGUUUUAAAAGAAAACUUUUCAAAUACAUUUAAUAAAUGUUAUCAAUGAAAUAUUAUUAUUGAUACAACACUACAGACUGUACAGAAAUAUGAAUUCGCAGACAAUCCAGUAAAUUGUUGGCAAGAGAUUGAACAAGGUAAAACACUGCAUAUCUGCAAUAGAAGAGUUGAUAAACUACCUCUCAAUGCAGAAAUUUUAGCAUGAACUCUAAGACUUAGUGUUACCGAUAUAUAUGCUUAUCUAACUGAAUAUUUACAUUUAAAGUUUUUGUUAUCAUUAACUUUACCUCCCUUUUAAAGGUAUAGAUUGUGCAAAAGAAGUGAUAACGAAAUUAUUACUUUAAUAACGAAAUGUAGUUUCAUUGAUAUUCUUAGUUGAAAAACGCGUUGCAGGGGACAUAGAAACAACAGGGGUGGGUCCCUCCUUUUAACUUCCCACGGGUAUGUGUGUCCGUCUGUCUGAUCUUGUUAGCGCUCUUAUCUAUGAUGAGUUUUUUAUAACCACUGGGUCGACGCCUCUGCUGGUGGAGUUUUAAUUCCCCGAGGGUAUCACCAGCCCAGUAGUCAGCACUUCUGUCUUGUCUACAGUUAGCAUUGAUAUAUUCAUAAUUAUAAAUGAACUGUUAACAAAACUUUCAAUUUCUAAAAUACUAAUGCUUUUCUUUCUCAGAAAUAUAUUACCUUAGCUGUAUUUGGCAAAACUUUAAGUAAUUUUUGGUCCUCAAUGCUCUUCAACUUCAUACUUUAUUUGGCCUUUUAAACAUUUUUUUAUGCGAGGGUCACUGAUGAGUCUUUUGCAGACGAAACGACCGUCUGGCGUAAAUAUAAAAUUUCAAUCCUGGUAUGUAUGAUGAGUUUAUUUACAUAUACAAUCCUUGUAAGAUUUUUAUAACAUAUAUAUCAUAUGUAUCAGCAGUCUCUCAGACAAGUUGACAAUCAGUGCCAAUCAAUAUGUUUUAAAGGGUGAAGCCCCUGGUAAGGGGCAUUGACCUAAUUGUUGUUAUCUGAAUUCAUGCUCUGUAAAAACAAUUACAUACGUAUUUGAUUGCAACAUAUGCGCAUGUUGACAAUAUAUGUCUCAUCAGUGAAUCUCUAACCUUAAAUGGACGAUUGACAAAACCAAUAGACUUAAUUGAUGGUUCCUGAUAAAAUAAAAAAGUUAUGAGAAACCGGCUUACAGUUUAUCUACUUUAACUGUAAGAUAACCUCACGUCUUAAAGUUUUAGCUCUUCAUCUUUUAUAUAAGCUUUGGGUUUCAAAUAUUUUGGCCACGAGCAUCAAUUAAGAGACAUGCAUGUAUUGUCGAUAUCCGCAUCUGGUGCAAGAAAAUUGGUACCGUUAAUGUUAUUAAAUCUUAGUAUAUUUAGAUGAUAUUUAGUUUUUACUGGUCUAAAAAACUGAAAACAAAUAUUUAUUCACUUCGCGCAUCCAAAGCGACUUUCUGGAUUUGUCUUCUUAAUGACGCUUAAAACCCAAGAUUUCAGUGCUUUUUUCAAAUAAAGGAUAUACAAAAUUGUCAGAUUAUAUAAUGAUUAUACAAAGUAUCAUGGAUAAAAAAACGUGUUUUAAUUAUAUUCUGAGCAAAAAAAGUUUAGCAACAAAAAUCUGAAAUUUUAUUUCAUUACAAAAUCAUAGCAACAUGUACUUUUAAUAAUAACAAAAUGGAAUUAUGACAUGUCAGAAGCAACAUGAAUAUUUAUCGAUCACAUUCAUGAUGAUUUUCUUUGUAUGGAGCGCGGGAGGUUCAAAAUGCGAAAAUGAGUAUAGUUUUAUUCAAAUCAAUUUCUCAGCCAUGCCCUAAGUGUACCAAUGAAGGAUUUGCAGGCACACCAGCAGCUGCCCUUAUUCAAUGCACUAGUUUUGUGGCUGGAAAAAAAUUGUCAAGCGUUGACGUAAAGCGAAGGUAGCGCUCCUCCCUUGACAACAGCUUUUUUGGUCAACGAGAUAUCGACCCUUUCCUGUGCAGUUGCAAUUUGUCGAUAUUUGUUUGUUAGUCUCUAAACUGUUGCCUUAUGCACAUUAAAUCGAGUCACGAUGUCAGCAAAACUCAUUCCGGCAUCAAACAUUCCAAGAGCUUUCUGGCGAUCAUUUUCGGGGAGGCCUGGUUGACGCCCCAUGCAAUUUCUUCAAAGGUGUAUGUGUUUUUCUUACUAAUGGUGUGUUUCAAAAGUACAGGUACAGAAGGUAAAAAAUCAAUUACACGUGCAAAGCUGAAAUGGAGCGAAAUCAAUCUCCAGGAAAAAAGUACGACUGUUUUAGAUUACAGGUAAAACUAAGGACUAUAUCAAUGAUGUUUAAAUACAUUUUUUCCAGAAAAAAAAAAACAAAUUUGAAAAAAAAGUGUUGCAUAACUUUUUUGGCUCAUUAUAUAUCAAAUUAUGAUAGCUUAUGUGAGGUUUUGGAAUUUGUGUCAAAUGUUUGGACUCCUUGGUGUUUUUCUACAUUCCUUUCUGAAAAUUAUCUAUACCAUGACAUAACAGUUUUAAAUUUUUAAUCAUUUGAAACAGUUUUUGUUUUGAUUAGGUUGUUGCCAAUCGAAAGACUCUUUACUUUCAACUCCAUUUUAAUGUCAAAUUCGAUUUCUGCAUCACAUUUGUUACUUUAAUCAAAUUUUCAAUAGAAAAAAAGGUCAAGACCUGUUCUUAAUAUUUUAUUUCAAAGUAGACGGGUCUAGUGUUAAAAGAAACAAAAACCUGCGAUAAAAAAAAUGACGGUUAUGAAAUCGGUUUUCAUUUCAUUGGUAAUUUCGGUUUUUAUUGUAACAUUCAAAAAAUUAUAAAACGACAUCGAUGUUUACACACUUUUAGCAUCUCGUGUCACCUUGCAUGUUACAUUUAUUUUUGAAAAUAAUGUUGAUUUCAGAAUGACAAAAGACUGCUGUUACAAAAUCAAAAUUAUUGCUUCCGAUGUAUAAUAUCACAGUUAUCUUUCUUUACCUAUAACUGUCUUGCGAAGUUGCUUUAUUGUUUAAUGAUAGAUCAGAUAUUAAUCCAAUUAAUACAGCAGAUUUAGUUCAUUCAUAUAAUAAGAUAGAAGGAGAGUAGUGCAAUGAGGCAAGAUUUGUGGAUCAAUAAGAUAUGGUAAGACUUGAAAAUCAUGACAACAUACAAUUCAAUACCCAGGAGAAAAGACACAAUAUAUCUGUAUCUGUAUUUAACUAGAUUAAACUGGUAAAACAAAUAUUAGACUUUCAUGAUUUUCAUUGCUGACAAAAAAAAUAUACACCGCAGACAAACGAAAAACAAGAGCUCUCAAAAAUAGAAUAAAAUAACUAUUUCAACACAUUUAUUUAAAUCUCUACAGUAUUAGAUCACUGACAAAAUUCGUUUGUAAAAUAUAAUUGCUAUAUGUGAUUUCAUAUCAUAAAGCUUGGUUUGUAUAAAAAGACAAAAAAGAGAUAUGAUAAUUGUAGUAAUUACAUUUAUACAUUAAAUGCAAAUUUAAAUAUUCCCGCCAGAUAAAAGUUUCUUUAACGAUCACGUGACCAAAUACCACCCUAGUUGAAAUACCAUCCGGUGCGUAUUUACCAAGGUAACAAACAUAUUUUCUUAACGUUUAUAAGAAUAAUUAUGCAAACAAAUGCAAGUAGACAUUUAAAAUGAUUUAUUUGUAAAUAUUCACAGUCCUACAUGUAACUAUUUACCUUUAAAAGUAUCUACUUUCGUUUUUGUAAUGUCAGCUGUCUGUGGUGUGUUAUCAUUAUUUUGUUUGUUCUUUCAUAUUUGGGAUACAAUUGAAAAAAGGAAAUACAUUAGUCUUCGUUUGUGUUGUUUUACAUUUGGUCAUGUUGGUUCUUUUGUAGAUUACUUCAUGAUAUGGAUUUAUGCAUUGUUGCAUAUCAUACGAUGACGCGUAUGUCAUUUGAUAUCUUGUGGAUCAUUAAUAGAGGGUGGUAAAGGGUUAUUUUCGUGCAACGUGAUCGCCGUUUUUUAUUUCACGUUCAACGUGUUUUUACUUUUUUAUUUGACGUUCAGUCGUGCAAGACGGGUGCCUCGUUCAACGUGUUCUUAUUUAAUUUUACGUGCAUCGUGAUUUUCAAAGUCUUAUUUUGUGUGCUCGGUAUUUUUCAAAUAAAAUUCAAACACUUGUCAGAGAUCUUCAAGAAAUACUUUUUUAAACGCCGUAAACCAAGUAUAACAUUAAUGUGUAUACUAAAUCGGGAAAAUCAAGUAAAACAAAGAGUUAAUAUAUACAAGAAGACAGUGAUUCAGUCAUAAAAGGCUCUCAUAAAAGUAUUUAUUUUUCGUGCAACGUUCAUUACAGAAAUUAUUUCACGUUCAACGUUAAAUUAUGUCUUAUUUCCCGUUUUUUUUUUCGUGCAAGCAAACCCCCUUUACCACCCUCUUAAUUUUUACAUUGAUAAUUUCUUUGUUUAUGUCUUAUUCAAGAUAUCUUCACCAGGAACACUAGAAGUUUGUAAGUGUAAAUGUACAUAAACAAGUACGAGAAAUAUUGUUCAAAGGGACAUAAUUAGGCAAAAUCCAUCAAAUAUAUUAUAAGCCAUAUAAUAUUUGAGUUUGGCAUCUUAUACUCAUUCUGAUUAAGAAAGAAGGUAUGAACGAAGUUGCAAUUCAAAAAUUGUUAUAAUUAUUCCAGGCUAUGAAAACAAUGUUGAUUAAAUAAAUAAAUGAACAGGUUAAAGCUGGACACUUAAGUGCAGAAAGGAUCCUCUGGUUUGAUAAAUACUUCAACUUAUUAAAUAAAUGCACUUUACAUAUUUAUGAUAUAGUUCCUAAAAACAUAUGCGAGCAAAGGCUUUAUACAAAAAUCUGUUUUACACAAAUUAACAUUUUAUUUAAUACAAUUGGUUACAAAAAUGAUUUUGGUAGAUGCCCCUGAUCCACUAUAAAUACUUUGGAAAUAUCUCUACAAACUAUCGACUAUUUCGGGAUUUUUUGAAAGAUUGUUUUUAACAAAGAAUUUUACAGCCUGAUAACAAUGCAAAUAGGUCUGACAGAAUACAAAACUAUCAUUACAAUUGAUUGUAAGCCUAAUGUCUAACAAACAAUUGUUGCAUGCUAUUUAGUACAUGUAGUUUUUAUGCCCCACCUACGAUAGUAGAGGGGCAUUAUGUUUUCUGGUCUGUGGCUCCGUUCGUCUGUGCGUCCGUCCGUUCAGGUUAACGUUUUUGGUCAAGGUAGUUUUUGAUGAAGCUGAAGUCCAAUCAACUUGAAACUUAGUAGACUUGUUGCUUAUGAUAUGAUCUUUCUAAUUUUCAAGCCAAAUUAGACUUUUGACCCCAAUUUCACGGUCCACUGAACAUAGAAAAUGAAAGUGGUAGUUUCAGGUGAAAGUUUUUGGUCAAGAUAGUUUUUGAUAAAAUUGAAGUCCAAUCAACUUGAAACUUAGUACAUAUGUUCCCUAUAGUAUAAUCUUUCUAAUUUUACUACCAAAUUAAAUUAUUACCCAAUUAUACGGUCCAUGAAACAUGGAAAAGGAUAGUGCGAGUGGGGCAUCCGUGUACUUUGGACACAUUCUUGUUAAUUCUUUUUUAUUUUCGAAUUCAAGUGCACAAAAUGUUACCGUCUCCUUUAUCUACAUAUUGACAAAUAUUUUCAACAAAACAAAAUAAUUUGGGAACUUGUAUAAAAAAGUUAUUUUGUAGACCGGGAAAGGUCUUCUGAACAAUAGCCUUAUUUAUAUUUGAUUUGAUAUUAUCUUGCAGUUUUGUGAUAUGGCCUCAUCCUCCCAAAGUUGUGGUGUGUGUGACCUCCGACACAUCAACAAACCAUCAAUAAUCUGGUGUACGGAAUGUGAUGAAGGACUUUGUCAAGAAUGUCAGGAACACCAUAGUUUAUCCACAGGAACCAGAAACCAUAACACCAUAACAAUAAAGGAAUAUAAAACAUUACCAAGUGAAGUACUUAAAAUCACUCAAUACUGUAGCACACACCAUGACAAAUUUAUAAUGUAUUGUGGGACACACGAACGUCCCUGCUGCAGAAAAUGUAUAGUUGAAACUCAUAAAGAAUGCCUGGAUAUCGAUAAUUUAGAAGACGUCAUUAAAAAUGUAAAAAGCUCAAAUGCCUUCCACGAUAUUGAAGAAACAUUGACUGAAGUAGCAGAAAAUUUUAAGAAAAUCAGUCAACAUCAGCAAAAGAAUCUGUUGAAUUUGAAAGAAAAAAGAAAACAAAUUGAAAAAGAAAUUCAAAAGACCCGUACAACAAUCAACAACCAUCUGGACAAAUUACAAGGAGAUUUGAUAAAACAACUUAAUUCUAUUGAAGAAACCCAGAACUCGAAAAUUUGUCAGUUGUUGUCAUCGCUUGAACAGAGAGAAAAAGAAAUAACCAAAUACCAGCAAAACCUUGUAAGCAUUAAACAACACGCCUCAGACCUUCAGAUUUUUCUUUCACUUAAGCAAAUCGAACAAGACAUUAAUAUAAAUGAUAAAUUCCUACAAUCCGUAGUGGAAGGUGAGGAAUUGAAGCAAUGUCAUCUAGAAUAUAGAACCAACAUUGCUAUUCAAGAUAUCAUGUCCAAUAUCAAACGUUUUGGAGAAGUACAGAUUGAAACUAAACCAUAUGAAAUCGUUCUCAGCAGAAAGAAGACUACACAAGCACAGAUAAUGAUACCAAACGUUCAAACAAGAUCCAUUGAGAAUAUAAAGCUGGAGAUGCACAAAACAGCAAUAGAAACUAAUGGAAGAUGCGUCUACGGGUGUUGCCUGAUAUCAGAUGGUAGAAUGGCUUUUACUUACUACCAUGAUUGUGCAGUUAGAGUUUUCAGUGAUAAAGGAUUAAAAGACUUUGAGGUGAAGAUGCCGUGUAAAGUAGCCGAUAUACUGUAUAUUAGUAAGGACAAUACAUUAGUCGUAACAUCUGGUGGUUCACGUCAGCAUUGUAUUUUUAUUAUAAACGUGGAAAAAAACAAAUCACAAGAACAAUUUCACUAGAUUCGGAAAUUGCUGGUAUAGCACUUAGAGAAAAUGAAUUAAUAUAUUCGGGUCAUUGUAAAGGAAUACGAAUGAUUAAUCUUUUAGACGAGUCAAUUACUCAAAUAGUCAAGGUGAAAUGCCAGAUUGUUGUUACAUUGCAACAUUUCGGAACCAAAUAUAUCACACAACCUCGGUAACACAUACCGUUACUUGUUACGAUCAACAAGGUAAACCGCAAUGGACAUUCAAAAAUAAAAGCGUUCUGAAGUAUCCUCGUGGUAUUGAUGUAGAUAUGGAUGGUAAUGUGUAUGUGGUGGGGUUCAGGUCGAACAAUGUUGUAGUUGUCUCCCCUGACGGACAACACCAUCG
rnacentral:lncRNA from 1 species